rnacentral:rRNA from 1 species
CAGCAGCCACGGUAAUACGAAGGGGGCUAGCGUUGCUCGGAAUGACUGGGCGUAAAGGGCGCGUAGGCGGUUUUGACAGUCAGAUGUGAAAUUCCUGGGCUUAACCUGGGGGCUGCAUUUGAGACGUCAAGACUAGAGUGUGAGAGAGGGUUGUGGAAUUCCCAGUGUAGAGGUGAAAUUCGUAGAUAUUGGGAAGAACACCGGUGGCGAAGGCGGCAACCUGGCUCAUUACUGACACUGAGGCACGAAAGUGUGGGGAGCAAACAGGAUUAGAUACCCCGGUAGUCCCUGUCUCUUAUAC